rnacentral:rRNA from 1 species
AUUGAACGCUGGCGGCAGGCCUAACACAUGCAAGUCGAACGAGUGGCGGACGGGUGAGUAAUGUCGGGGCAACUGCCUGAUGGGGGGGGAUAACUACUGGAAAGGGUAGCUAAUCCCGAAUACCAUCAGCUGUGCCCAGAGGGGAUUAGCUAGUUGGGGGGGAAAGGGCUCACAAAGGCGACGAUCCCUAUGUGGUGUGAGAGGAUGACCAGCCACACUGGAACGUAGAAACGGCCCAGACGCCUACGGGAGGCAUCAGUGGGGAAGAUUGCAGAAUGGGCGCAAGCCUGAUUCAGCCAUGCCGCGUGUAUGAAGAAGGCCGUCGGGUUGUAAAGUACUUUCAGCGGGGAGGCGUUACCGGCAGAAGAAGCACCGGCUAACUCCGUGCCAGCAGCCGCGGUAAUUC